AACAAUAAUAUUGUGGGAAAACAACUAUAUUGAAUCAACAACAAAUUAUUGAAAUCAACAAAAACAAAAGCAAAAAAACACACCAAAAUUCCAACAAAAACGACUAUUACUGAAACCAUCUACAAUUGUAACAAAAACAACUAUAUUUUUUUUAGUAACACGAACAUAAUUUCAACAAACGAGCCUCCCAAACAAUACCUCCUCCUCGAGGUCAAUCUAUUCCAUUAGAUCGGUCUUCCGACGAGAAUUGCAGGAAUGCUUCCAAAAAUUGAAGAACAAAAAAUCCCUAUAGAAAUCAAGAAAAAAAUUAAAAAUCUAAGGAAAGAUAUACAACUAGUCAUAGAAAUACAUGAGCUCCUCAAAAAUCAGCCAUCGACUGUUCGACAUCAAACCCUGACAACAAAACCAAGAAAAAUGGAACAAUAACAAAUGGCAUAAAAAAAUAAAAGGUCAAAAUAAAAAAUAAUAGAAAGAAAAACAAGAAUCUAUGGUGGGGAUACAAUGGAUGGAGAUCAAAUCCAACUGACGACGGAAAACUUUUUCAAUUUAAAAUAGACACAGUAAAGAUGGAUAGAGAAAGGAGAAUUAGAGGAAAAAGUACCCAAAUUGUUGAAUUUGCAAAGAGAAAUUAGAGAGAUGGGUAUAGAAAAAUGGAACUGUACCAUGGUGCCGACUGUGACGAAGUGGGACGACAUUGACACAGUGACGACGGCGGCACGGAGGUGGAGAGGCGAGGCGAGGAUCUGUGCAACGAUGAGAGAACACGAAAAGAG
rnacentral:lncRNA from 1 species